GUGCCGGUCUGGGGCUGACAGCAAUACAUAAAACUUGAAAUGCGCUUCAGCGAAGUCAUUUAUUUUUAAAUCGAUUUUGUUUUCGAAUAUACUAUCAAGAACUUCCGUAACCAUAAGGUUUAUUCCGGCUUAAAACAUGUUAUAAAAUAUAAAGUAGCAUACAUUUUAAAUAAAACGGUAUUAAGGGUGCUGUCGGUCAUUAUUAUAUGUCUAUGAUGUGCACUGAAUAGUUUUCUACAUUUUAUUAGCUAGGCGUUUCUCUUUUCUAAUUAACGAUUUGUAUUUGUCUCUAAUUUGUUGUUUUGUGAAUUCUUUUGCAGAAGGACACAACUUCCAAAAAUCGCCGUUGUCCAAUGCUCUGAUUAAUAGCUUUAUGGACAUUUUUCGCCUUGUUCGUCUUGUUGCAAACCUGGCUGAACGUGGCUGAUCUGAUGGUUGUUGAAGAGAACCAGAUUUAUUCGGGUCUUCGAUUGACCUCGCUGAUGAGCUGUGAUGGGCUUCCGCUGCUGCGAGAGAACUUUCAUGACCGAAAUUUUGAAUGAACUGGAAACUGUCGCUGGUGAUAUUAAAAAAGUGUUGUUCGCGUCUUGAACAAUCGUUUUGAUUAAUUAAUUAGUCACGAACCUAACUCUCUUUUAUUGACGUCAACGUCGACACGUGCAUGGAUAUAUUAUC